GUAGAGGCUAGAGAUAUCACAAGCUUAACGACACAAAACGUGGUUUAGGCAUCAUGCCAAGCGAACUUGUUGAAGCGCUUGAAGUUGAAGGCGACGUCGGCGAAGGCACAUGACAUUGGGCAUCUUCUGGCCGUGCUACGACACGAUGUGAUCCGGCGAUAACCACUGUUGCGACCUGCAAUCCUCCAAGCUGAACUUGAUGAAGCUUACGCUGUCACCUUGCCCUUGCCUCUGUCCUCCAUGGUUCCAAAUCCAAACCCGUCACACGAACACAAAAUAAUGGCAACUAAUGUUUAUGAUACGGAGAGUAUCAGAGGCAUCCAUGUAGGCCAAGAAAGUUAGUAUUCUUACUGAGAUAGAUGCCAAAGUCCAAAUGGAUUAACCCGACUAUUCCUAAUCAUGUCACCCAAGAAAGAAGAUAGGCUAGUCCAAUCGGGAUAUCCGAGACAACCCCAUUUGGCCCCAUGAUCAAACAAAUUGGUGCAUCCCUAAUCGGCCUAUCCGCCAACAUCGAAGAUAAUAGGCCACCUCUAAGUAUUCAGAAGCUCCCCUGACUCAAUGCUCUAUUCGGUCAGCUCCAUUCCUCAAAUAUCUCAGUAGAUCUCUUGACUCCAUGGCUUAGUUCCCCCCAACUUAGUAUUCCACUCGGUCAGCUCAACUCCUCAAAUCUCUCGAUCAAUUCACCGAACUUCAAGGGUUGAUCAGCUCCCUCGACUUCAGGGGCUCAGCUCUCCCCAACUCAAUGCUUCGCUCAAUAAGCUUCACCAGUCCAACUCGAUUCCUCUUAGUGGGUCAUACCCCUGAGGUUCAAUGGGUUCUCUGUUUUGUGGGCCAAUGCUAUCAUAGUAUAACACAUAGGUUGUCAGGACAUGUGGGACAAUAUAAUUAUACUGAUACAAGAUAUGGGCUAUGUGAUUACUAGAUACACUGAUAUGAUAUUUUGUUUACUGUGACAUAAUGUUCAAUUAAUGAAGAUAGAAUGUCAUCUCAACAAUGUUAUAAAAAGAGGCUCGCUCUCGUGGGCAUAGGUCUGGUGAGCGAUAACGACGAUUCCCUUCUCUUCUUGGUGAUCAGUGACUCCGUUAAUCUCAAAAAUAGCUCAUUGGUGAUUCACCCGUCGACAAUCUCAGGUAAGAAUUCGUAUUAAAGGCAAUUAUAUUAGAAUAUUGAUUCUUGAUCUCAAACAAUGAAAAGUAACACUUCCACUCCUCUUCCUAUUGUUGGUGCUGGGAGCACCAAACAAUCGAACUUAUGUUUUAAUUAUGGUAACGGGUUUAAAGUUAAAGUUACUUGUUGUCUAACAAGUGUAAAUGGGCUUGUAAAAAAGUCCUAAGCUAUCUUAGGCAAAAAUUCUAAUGGAUUCUAGGCUAGUGGAAAGUCCUAGCUGCGGUUAUGCACAAAGUCCUGAUCCGGGGGAUUGGGCGAAGUCUUGGCAAGUCAAACACUUUAGGCGAAAUCCUAGAAUCGGGGACUCUAGGUGAAAAUCUUGGUGGUCGCAAAGUAGGUGGAAGUCUGGAUAGGUUAUGGAGCAGAUGUUUAGCAUGAAGACCAGAAGUCUUGGACGCUAAGCAAAAGUCCAGAUUGUUUGGAGGACUGAUCUGGUAAAAAGAUAAUUUCUCUUAAGAGGAGUAGGUGAGGACGCAUUCCCCGUUGAGGAGACAGUAGGCAUCGGUUCGAUCUAGGGUUUUCAAGAAAUUGGAAAGUCAGAACCGGAUAGUCCAGAGGCUGUCAAAUAAUUUAUUAUUCAUAUUUUAUUGUGCUAACUUUGUUUUACAGGGUAUAUUUUGUUUGUGGACUAAUAUGCCUUGCAGGAAAGGAGAUGCACAAAGAAAUGUCUGGAUAAACAGUGUCCGAGGCGCCUCCGGGACUAUUUGAGGCACCUCUGGUGCCUUAGCCCAAGCUUUGCGAGGAAAGGAGCUAAAGGCACCUUCCAGGCGCUUUUGAACCAGGGAUGGAAGGCACCUUCCAAGAGCUUGAAGGCGCCUUCGAAUGGAUAAAGUUCGUAGAAAGUGGAGCUUAUCGGUACCACAGAUUUGGGGAUAGAAAUCCAAGAUGGAGGCACUUUUAAUGGGGUUGAAGGCGCCUUCAACAACCCAUAAAAGAGGGUCUCGAGCAGAUGGUUGAAGACACUUGAUUUUCGCAAUCUUUCUCUUACGCGCUGCUCCAAGAACAAUCCCGCUACUCUACGACGCGACUCCAGCGAUCAGGUGACGUGACUUCAACAACCAAGUGAUGCAACUCUGGUGAUUGAGCGACACAACUCUGACAACCGAAAGUACAACUCUCCAGAUCCUAAAGUUGUUGGUAUACUUUACUUGUUGCAAAGUUGUACUUCAAUAUUUUUGUAAUAUUUGAACCGAUAGUGGAUUGCUCAAUAAAAGUGAUCAAUGAUCGUGAGCCUUGGAGUAGGAGUCGUCAAAGGCUCUGAACCAAGUAAAAUCAAA